GGGAAAUGAGAGUCUGGCUCUAUGCCUAUUUUAUCAAAAUAGUCCUUAAUUUCGGGCACAUUUCC
rnacentral:tRNA from 1 species